CCUACGGGAGGCAGCAGUGGGGGAUAUUGCACAAUGGGGGAAACCCUGAUGCAGCGACGCCGCGUGAGUGAAGAAGUAUUUCGGUAUGUAAAGCUCUAUCAGCAGGGAAGAAAAUGACAGUACCUGACUAAGAAGCCCCGGCUAACUACGUGCCAGCAGCCGCGGUAAUACGUAGGGGGCAAGCGUUAUCCGGAUUUACUGGGUGUAAAGGGAGCGUAGACGGUUAUGUAAGUCUGGAGUGAAAUGCCGGGGCCCAACCCCGGGACUGCUUGGGAUACUGUGUAACUGGAGUGCAGGCGGGGUAGGCGGAAUUCCUGGUGUAGCGGUGAAAUGCGUAGAGAUCAGGAGGAACACCGGCGGCGAAGGCGGACUGCUGGACUGCAACUGACGUUGAGGCUCGAAAGCGUGGGGAGCAAACAGGAUUAGAUACCCUGGUAGUC
rnacentral:rRNA from 1 species